rnacentral:rRNA from 1 species
UACGUAGGUGGCGAGCGUUAUCCGGAAUUACUGGGUGUAAAGGGCGUGUAGGCGGGAGAGUAAGUCAGAUGUGAAAUUCCCAGGCUUAACCUGGGCGCUGCAUCUGAAACUAUUCUUCUUGAGUGCUGGAGAGGAAAGUGGAAUUCCUAGUGUAGCGGUGAAAUGCGUAGAUAUUAGGAGGAACACCAGUGGCGAAGGCGGCUUUCUGGACAGUAACUGACGCUGAGGCGAGAAAGCGUGGGGAGCAAACAGG